AGUGAACGCUGGCGGUAGGCCUAACACAUGCAAGUCGAACGGCAGCACAGUAAGAGCUUGCUCUUACGGGUGGCGAGUGGCGGACGGGUGAGGAAUACAUCGGAAUCUACUUUUUCGUGGGGGAUAACGUAGGGAAACUUACGCUAAUACCGCAUACGACCUACGGGUGAAAGCAGGGGAUCUUCGGACCUUGCGCGAUUGAAUAAGCCGAUGUCGGAUUAGCUAGUUGGCGGGGUAAAGGCCCACCAAGGCGACGAUCCGUAGCUGGUCUGAGAGGAUGAUCAGCCACCCUGGAACUGAGACACGGUCCAGACUCCUACGGGAGGCAGCAGUGGGGAAUAUUGGACAAUGGGCGCAAGCCUGAUCCAGCCAUACCGCGUGGGUGAAGAAGGCCUUCGGGUUGUAAAGCCCUUUUGUUGGGAAAGAAAAGCAGCAGGUUAAUACCCCGCUGUUCUGACGGUACCCAAAGAAUAAGCACCGGCUAACUUCGUG
rnacentral:rRNA from 1 species